GAUGAACGCUGGCGGCGUGCCUAAUACAUGCAAGUCGAGCGAACAGACGAGGAGCUUGCUCCUCUGACGUUAGCGGCGGACGGGUGAGUAACACGUGGAUAACCUACCUAUAAGACUGGGAUAACUUCGGGAAACCGGAGCUAAUACCGGAUAAUAUAUUGAACCGCAUGGUUCAAUAGUGAAAGACGGUUUUGCUGUCACUUAUAGAUGUAUCCGCGCCGCAUUAGCUAGUUGGUAAGGUAACGGCUUACCAAGUCAACGAUGCGUAGCCGACCUGAGAGGGUGAUCGGCCACACUGGAACUGAGACACGGUCCAGACUCCUACGGGAGGCAGCAGUAGGGAAUCUUCCGCAAUGGGCGAAAGCCUGACGGAGCAACGCCGCGUGAGUGAUGAAGGUCUUCGGAUCGUAAAACUCUGUUAUUAGGGAAGAACAAAUGUGUAAGUAACUAUGCACGUCUUGACGGUACCUAAUCAGAAAGCCACGGCUAACUACGUG
rnacentral:rRNA from 1 species